GACGAACGCUGGCGGCGUGCCUAAUACAUGCAAGUCGAGCGGACAGAAGGGAGCUUGCUCCCGGAAGUUAGCGGCGGACGGGUGAGUAACACGUGGGCAACCUACCCUGUAGAUCGGGAUAACAUCGAGAAAUCGGUGCUAAUACCGGAUAAUCAUUAGAAGUGCAUGCUUCGAAUGUAAAAGAUGGCUCCGGCUAUCACUACGGGAUGGGCCCGCGGCGCAUUAGCUGGUUGGUAAGGUAAUGGCUUACCAAGGCAACGAUGCGUAGCCGACCUGAGAGGGUGAUCGGCCACACUGGGACUGAGACACGGCCCAGACUCCUACGGGAGGCAGCAGUAGGGAAUCUUCCGCAACGGACGAAAGUCUGACGGAGCAACGCCGCGUGAGAGAUGAAGGUUUUCGGAUCGUAAAGCUCUGUUGUUAGGGAAGAACAAGUGCCGUUUGAAUAAGGCGGCACCUUGACGGUACCUAACCAGAAAGCCACGGCUAACUACGUGCCAGCCGCCGCGGUAACAC
rnacentral:rRNA from 1 species